rnacentral:rRNA from 1 species
GACGAACGCUGGCGGCGUGCUUAACACAUGCAAGUCGAACGGAAAGGCCCUGCUUUUGUGGGGUGCUCGAGUGGCGAACGGGUGAGUAACACGUGAGUAACCUGCCCUUGACUUUGGGAUAACUUCAGGAAACUGGGGCUAAUACCGGAUAGGAGCUCCUGCUGCAUGGUGGGGGUUGGAAAGUUUCGGCGGUUGGGGAUGGACUCGCGGCUUAUCAGCUUGUUGGUGGGGUAGUGGCUUACCAAGGCUUUGACGGGUAGCCGGCCUGAGAGGGUGACCGGCCACAUUGGGACUGAGAUACGGCCCAGACUCCUACGGGAGGCAGAAGUGGGGAAUAUUGCACAAUGGGCGGAAGCAUGAUGCAGCAACGCCGCGUGCGGGAUGACGGCCUUCGGGUUGUAAACCGCUUCCGCCUGUGACGAAGCGUGAGUGACGGUAAUGGGUAAAGAAGCACCGGCUAACUACGUG